GACGAACGCUGGCGGCGUGCUUAACACAUGCAAGUCGAGCGGUAAGGCCCUUUCGGGGGUACACGAGCGGCGAACGGGUGAGUAACACGUGGGUGACCUGCCCUCAGCUCUGGGAUAAGCCUGGGAAACCGGGUCUAAUACUGGAUAUGACUCCAUGACGCAUGUUGUGGGGCGGAAAGCCUUGUGCGGCUGAGGAUGGGCCCGCGGCCUAUCAGCUUGUUGGUGGGGUGAUGGCCUACCAAGGCGACGACGGGUAGCCGGCCUGAGAGGGCGACCGGCCACACUGGGACUGAGACACGGCCCAGACUCCUACGGGAGGCAGCAGUGGGGAAUCUUGCGCAAUGGGCGAAAGCCUGACGCAGCGACGCCGCGUGA
rnacentral:rRNA from 1 species